rnacentral:lncRNA from 1 species
GGAUUACAGCAAGGAUGAAGAUAGAUUGGGACUCUUAGUGGACUUCAUCCAUGUUGGACCUCUUAAAGUAGAGCAGUAGGAACAGACAGAAACAGUGUAGAAGAAGGACUUAUUCUCACAAAGGAUAUGAGCGAAGCUGGAGAAGAUACCUGUGACAUGUUCAUCCCCAAAUGAUAGCAUUUGCGAUGCAACUCUAUGAUCUUCUGCUUCCUUGUUUAUAUAGAUGAUGAAUGUGUACAAAAUAUAACACAACUAACAGGAAAUGCUCACAGUUGGGAAAAUGUGCUUCAUGACUGAUAAAUUAGAUACCAGCUUCCAAAAGAACUACUAACAAUUUG